rnacentral:lncRNA from 10 species
CCGCAAGAGUCCCGGGGGUCCGCCCGCAGCUGGCUAAGCGCUAGCCCGGCCUGUGGCGAGUCUGCAGAGCUCGCCCGGAAGUAGCGUUGCGCGCGCAGAGGAUGGGCGCUGAGCAGCACACAGCCCGCGGCGGGGUCUCAGGAUCCGCGGCGCUGCCCGGGGCCGGGGGAAGGAAGCCAGCCGAGGAGACGCACGUGCCCUGAGUCCGGGAGCGGGGAGCCUCUUCAUCUCUCCAUCCUCCCUCCGCGCGCGCCCUCAGCCGUCCUCGUCCGCUCACCAUGCACCUCCCCUCCAAGAAAGGGCCACAUGCGUGCCAGGGACGCGAGCCCCGGCCACAGGGACAUAGCAGCCUAGAAGGUAUACCAGGAACACUUAAUCAACAUCCUGCAUGGUUCCAGCAAAGACAUUAAGACAGUUGGGACUGUUGGUGAGGACAGAUGAUCUUCACAAACCCUCUGACUCUUAAGAACCUGGGAGACCUGCUGGAGUUUACCCCACAUUCCCUUAAUUAAAAAGCCAUUAAAAUAGUCAACUUUGCUGGGCACGGUGGCUCGCGUCUGUAAUUCCAGCAAUUUGGGAGGUCAAGGCAGGAGGAUUGCUUGAGCCCAAGAGUUAAGACCAGCCUGGGCAACAUGGUGAGAGCCCAUCUCUACAAAAAAUUCAAAAAAUUAGCAAGGCAUGGGACCACACCUGUGGUCCCAGCUACUUGGGAGGCUGAGGUUGCAGUAAGCCGAGACUGAGCCACUGCACUCCAACCUGGGCAACAGAGUGAGACCCUGUCUCAAUAAUAAUAAUAAUCCCUUUAGCAGGCUUGUGCCUGAGUUAUUUAAUGUAAGGGUAAAAAGUCUUCUUUAUAAUAAAUUCCCUAUACCUUUUAGGUUUACUUUUUUUUUUUUUUUGAGACAGAGUUUUGCUCUUGUCGCCCAGGCUGGAGUACAGUGGCAUGAUUUCGGCUCACUGCAACCUCUGCCUCCCAGGUUCAAGCCAUUCUCCUGCCUCAGCCUCCUAAGUAGCUGGGAUUAUUGGCAUGUGUCACCAUGCCUGGCAAAUUUUUUCUUUUGAGACAGUCCUGCUCUGUCGCCCAGGCUGGAGUGCAGUGGUGUGAUCUUGGCUCACCACAAGCUCCGCCUCCUGGGUUCAUGCCAUUCUCCUGCCCCAGCCUCCCGAGUAGCUGGUACUACAGGCGCCUGCCACCGUGCCCAGCUAAUUUUUUUUUUUUUUUUGUAUUUUUAGUAGAGAUGGAGUUUCACCGUGUUAGCCAGGAUGGUCUUGAUCUCCUGACCUCGUGAUCCUCCCGCCUUGGCCUCCCAAAGUGCUGGGAUUACAGGCGUGAGCCACCGAGCCCGGCCGAUUUUUUUGUAUUUUUACUAGAGACAGGGUUUCACCACGUUGGCCAGGCUGGUCUCACCACGUUGGCCAGGCUGGUCUCGAACUCCUGACCUCAGCUGAUCCACCCACCUCAGCCUCCCAAAGUGCUGGGAUUACAGGCGUGAGCCACCGCGCCCGGCCUAGGUUUACUUUUCAUCCAUCCAAACUCUCAUUCUUAAUAUUCCUGUUAACAUUUAACAAGGGAGAUGUGAUUUAUCAGAAGGAAAACUGAAAUUGAAGCCACAAGUAAAACAAGAAAGCACUCGUGGACUCCAGGUGACAGAGCUUGAGCUGAAGGCCAAGUCACAGUUCUGCUUUCUAAGAAUUAUAUGCAUGACUCUUGGAAGAAAAAUGCUAAUUUGUAAAAAGUUCCUAGUUAAAAGAUAUACUGGGUUUUCCCCCUUGAGUAUAUUAUCAAAUUCUGGCAAACAAUAAAUAAAUAAUACAGCUUUUUACUAAAAAUGCCACAAAGUAAGCUAUUCUCACCCAAAGCGUCCAGCUUAACUAAGGUUUUAUUUAAAUGUACUUUUCUUUUUAUUUUUAUACAGGUGAUAGAGAACAAAAUUUAUGAACCUACGUACGGGAGGGACUGAUGACAAAAAAAAUUGGCAAAAACCCCAUUCGCACAGUUUUCAAUUAUUAUUUUUUUUUUUUUAGAGAUGGGGUCUCACUGUGUUGCCCAGGCUAGUCUCAAACUUCAGCUCAAGUGAUUCUCCUGCCUCUCAGCCUAUCAAAGUGCUAGGAUUACUGGUAUAAGCCACCAUGCUUGGCCCCUAAUUAGCACUUAAAAAAAAAUUUUUUUUUUUUUUGAGACAGAGUCUCAGUCUGUCAUCAAGGCUAGAGUGCAGCGGCACAAUCUCGGCUCACUGCACCCUCUGCCUCCCAGGUCCAAAUGAUUCUUGUGCCUUAGCCUCCCAAGUAGCUGGGAUUACAAGCAUGUGCCACCACACCUGGCUAAUUUUUGUAUUUUUUUUUUGUAGAGACGGGGUUUCGCCAUGUUGGUCAGGCUGGUCUCAAACUCCUGGCCUCAAGGAUUAGCACAGUUUUUAAUGCCACUUCCUUUCCUCCAGUCUGCUCACUGGCCUCAGAAGUGAGCAUGAGUGACCUGUGUGUAGCACAGGGGCUGCCAAACAGCCCCGACUGACACGGGCUCAGAACUUCACCAGCUUAAUGAAUGAGGCAUUCAAUCAUCGCAACUACUCUAUGAGGAAGACACUACCAUGACGACCAUUUUACAGAUGGGGAGACCGAGGCCAGGGUAGUUAAAUGACUUGUUCAGGGUCAUGCACCUCCUAGUGGCAGAGCUGGAGUCAAACCUAGGCAGCCUGGCUCUUCAACCUGUGCACUGCCUUUCAUUAGAUGAGUACAAGGGCAGAGUUGAGAGACCUGUAAGGAAGCCAUGGUCAACUGUUAACCUCAAAUCAAAGUGGCCGUCUAAGGGAAAAUCCCAAACUGCAUGUGAAAUCAUGGCAGUGAUGCUCUCUCUCUGGCUGGUAUAGUCAAUAGCUGCCUCGCUCCACUGGGGACUUCUUGGAGGUUCACCUUCCUCCCUUCCCUGCCCUCUAAUGGGUAGACAUGUGACUGCACGGAACAGCAGCAGCAGGGAGGGCAGAAAGCAUAGGCAGAGCUCACACAAGCUGGAAACUGUGUGUUCUUAAAAAUGUACUCAGUUAUUUUCUCUGGUGUGGAGAGCAGUAAAUUAUGUGGUUUGGAAGCUACUACUACACUACUAUUUCCUGAAAGAGCUUUCUAGCACGGCCUGUCACAGACACAAAUUUACAAGUAUG